CGGAUGAAUUGGGGUUUAUCUGGCGAGUAUUGGUGGGGGGGGUUGAUCCAUUGUUGGGGGGUUAUGGGAGUCAUCAGUGAAAUACCCCUCUUUUCCUGUUUAAUUUCUAACUUUGUAUCAUUAUUUGGUCAAAGAACAAUUUUCGGCGGGGAGUUUGACUGGGGCGGUCGCCUCCUAAACGGUAACGGAGGCGCACAAAGGUUUCCUCUGAACGGGUAGAAAUCGUAUCUAGAGUGUAAAGGCAUAAGGAAGCUUGACUGUGAGACCUACAAGUCGAGCAGGGACGAAAGUCGGCCUUAGUGAUCCGACGGUGCUGAGUGGAAAGGCCGUCACUCAACGGAUAAAAGUUACUCUAGGGAUAACAGGCUGAA
rnacentral:rRNA from 1 species